rnacentral:misc_RNA from 1 species
CUUCAUAAUUAUCUUUAUGUGAAAUUAAUGGUUUUUGAAUAUUAGCUUGCUGGCCAAAAGUUUGAUCCUGAGUUGGUGGUCUACAAUGCUGGCACUGAUAUCCUAGAUGGAGAUCCACUAGGCAGGCUGAAGAUCAGUCCUGAUGGAAUAACUGCCAGAGACGAGAAGGUUUUCAUGUUUGCCCGUGAAAGGAAUGCUCCUCUUGUCAUGCUGACAUCAGGUGGUUAUACGAAGACCAGUGCUAGAGUUAUUGC